UUUUGACAGCACAAGUAGAGGGAGAGGAUGAAAGAGAAGCAGGAUCUGCACUGAGCAGGGAGCCAGAUGCAGGGCUGGAUCCCAGGACCCUGGACUGAUGCUGCACUGAGGGAGCCACCCAGACACCCUUUUAGACCUAGGAUACAGAUGUGUGGAGGGCCAUGGCUGACUUGGAUGCAGUUGGGGUCAUCUCACGGCACAUGGAAUACACAAUUUAUCUUGCUUCCUGUCUUGAUAACGACAUCUUGGUUUUCAUGCUGUCUUAGAACAAGUAGAACUUGACUUACAUGAUUUUAUUCAUUUGACAGAGAGAGAUCACAAGUAGAGAGAGAGAGAGAGGAGGGAGCAGGCUCCCCGCCUGGCAGAGAGCCCAAUGUGGGACUUGAUCCCAGGACCCUGAGAUCAUGACCUGAGCUGAAGGCAGAGGCUUAACCCACUGAGCCACCCAGGCAGCCCCCACAAGUGUUACUUUUUCACAUCCUCUCCAACACCUUUUGUUUCUUGUAGUGUUGAUUUUAGCCAUUCUGACAGGAGUGAGGUGGUAUCUCUUUCUAGUUUUGCUUUGUAAUUUCCUGAUGAUACAUGAUGAUGGACAUCUUUUCAUGUAUCUACUGAACAUUUGAAUGUGUUCUUUGGGGAAACACUUGUUCAUGUCUUCCAUCCAUGUUUUUAUUGGAUUAUUUGUUUUUGGAUGUAGACUAAAAACUGGAUAUUAAGUAACAAACAAGACAGGUUUCCUUGAGCUUAAAUUUUAUUUGCAAGAGUAUCAUUAACAGGAAAAAAUAUGCAUAUGUGUAUGUACAAGUGUGUUUAUGUAUACAUCUAUCUAUCUAUCCUCUAUCCCCUAUCUUCUAAUUGUGGUAAAUCCUGUCAGGUGGGGAAUGGGAUAGUCUGAAGAAAUAUGCUGCUGGAUAUGUUGGGUAAGCAAAUUUAAUUGCACUCAAAUGCAUUGGAUAUAAGUG